GAAAAUGAACAAUAGGGGAACGCAGCCCAAUAGCACAAGUCCAAGUGUAGCUAGUCGUGCAAACCAGUGAGCUAAUUCCUUUGUCUUUUGUUAAUUCCAUGCAAUGAAUAGUUCUCUAUUAAUUCAUUCACUUAGCUAAAUUAAUCUGUGUCACCUUGUUUGGAUACUUGUUUUUAUUUUAAUAAUCAUGCAUAGUUUAUUACUCAUCCUUUGAUGCCUAGUGUUGG
rnacentral:lncRNA from 1 species